GCGCCUAUAGCUCAGCGGAUUAGAGCACCGGCCUCCGGAGCCGGUGGCGCAGGUUCGAGUCCUGCUAGGCGCACCA
rnacentral:tRNA from 1 species